ACUUGGUGUCUGAGCCUUUCUGAGGCCUGAUGGGUCUUCAAGGUGAACCCUUGGUAAAAAGUCGGGUUGUGGGAUUGCUGAGCUGCUGUCUUCCACCAGAUCCUUUCAUUUUUAGCAGGUGUUGUCUUUCCCACUGUUCACGACUGACUUGUCGAAAGAUAUUUUUAAAACUGGAGAGAAGAAGUGAUGCAUAACAAUCUAUAAGCUCCUGGUAACCACUAUUCUACUUUCUAUCUCUGGAUUUCGCUACUCUAGUUACUUCCUGUAAGUGCAACCGUACAAUGUUAAUACUUUUGUUCUUGGCUUAUUUUACUUAGCACUAUAUUUUUAAGGUUCAUCCACAUGGUAGUGUGUAUAAGAAUUUCCUUGUUUUAGGGCUGAAUAAUAGUCCACUGUAAAUUAAUUUCACAUUUUGUUUAUUUGUUCAUCGAUGGAAAUUUGGGUAAUUUCUACCUUUUGACUAUGGUGAAUAAUGGUUAUGAACAUGAUGUAGAAAUAUUCGUUCCUGAUUUCAGUUCUUUUGGAUCUAUUCCCAGAAGUGGAAUUGCUGGUUUAUAUGCUAAUUCUGUGCUUAAUUCAUUGAGAACUACCAUACUAUUUUCCAUAGCAGCACCAUUUUUUAUUAACAUAUAAUGUAUUUUAAAAAUGAACAUAUAUAAAUCCAUUAAUGUACAUUAUUUUCUGUAAGAUAAAUGUUCAAAAUUGAGUCAAAAUAUAAUAGCUAGACAAAUAGUAUGCUUAAAAUGUUUCAAUGAUAUUAAAGAUAUACGUAACAAAAAAAAAAAUAACAUAUAAUGUAUUAUUUGCACCAGGGGUACGGGUCUGUGAAUCAUCAGGCUUAUACAUUUCACAGCACUCACCAUAUCACAUACCCUCCCCAAUUCCCUUAACCCAACCACCCUCUCCAUACCUCCCUUUCCCCCAGCAACCCUCAGUUUCUUUCAUGAGAUUAAGAGUUUCUUAUUGUUUGUCUCCCUCCUGAUCCCAUCUUGUUUUAUUUUUCCUUCCCUCCACUGAAACCCUGCCCUGCCUCUCAAAUUCCUCAUAUUAGAGAGAUCAUAUGAUAAUUGUCUUUCUCUGAUUGACUUAUUUUGCUCAGCAUAAUUCCCUCUAGUUCCAUCCACAUCA